GACGAACCGUGCAAACGUUAUUCGGAAUCACUGGGCUUAAAGCGUGCGUAGGCGGCUGAGAAAGUUGGGUGUGAAAUCCCUCGGCUCAACCGAGGAAUUGCGCUCAAAACUACUUGGCUUGAGGGAGUUAGAGGUGAGCGGAACUAAUGGUGGAGCGGUGAAAUGCGUUGAUAUCGAUAGGAACUCCGGUGGCGAAGGCGGCAUACUGGACCACCACUGACGCUGAUGCGCGAAAGCCAGGGGAGCAAACGGG
rnacentral:rRNA from 1 species